rnacentral:rRNA from 1 species
GGUUCAUUCAAAUUUCUGCCUAUCAACUUUCGAUGGUAGGAUAGUGGCCUACCAUGGUUUCAACGGGUAACGGGGAAUUAGGGUUCUAUUCCGGAGAGGGAGCCUGAGAAACGGCUACCACAUCCAAGGAAGGCAGCAGGCGCGCAAAUUACCCAAUCCCGACCGGGGAGGUAGUGACAAUAAAUACUGAUGCAGGGGUCUUUCGGCCCAUGCAAUUGGAAUGAGUACAAUUUAAAUCCCUUAACGAGGAACAAUUGGAGGGCAAGUCUGGUGCCAGCAGCCGCGGUAAUUCCAGCUCCAAUAGCGUAUAUUAAAGUUGUUGCAGUUAAAAAGCUCGUAGUUG